AAAAAACUUACCGUGGAAGAAAUGGUUUUGCAUCUGGAUAAAGGAGAAUAUAUUUGAAUCUAGCCCACAAAAAAACUCAUUUAACAAAUAUAACCGUAAGCAAAAGCAUCAAAACACGUUUAUCUCCACUUUUUUGUUUGUGUUGUUCAAGCUUUUCAUCUUCCUCUGUUACACGUCAAACACAACUGCUUAAGAAAAUCAUUCCUAAUUCUAAUUUCACUCCCACUAACAGUCCACGUUCAUGGUGGUUAACAUCAAAUCCCAUCUUCUAUAUAAAUCCUCUUGAACUUUCUCUAAACACAAAAAAAAACCCACCACAAAACCUCUUUUAUUUUCCAAUUCACCACCAGAUCCAUAUCCUCUGUUCAAUCAACAACGAAAACCUCUUUCAAAUUCAUAAAUCCAAAGCCCUUUAAAGCUAUAAUUUUCAAGGAGUUUCAUGUUGAAGAUGCCUGCUCUCUAAUGCCAUACUCCUCUCUUAAAUCUAAAUUCUUUGAAAAAAUAAUGGAAGAUCACAGCUCUAAUAAUCAAGGACAUGGAAUUUUCUAUCUAAAAAAUAAACCUGGUGUUGUUCUCGGUAUUGAAGCAAUUCUUGUGGAUGCAAAGAUAUAUUUUUCUGCUACUCUACAUUUGACUUUACUCUUAAAUAGAUUAGUGUCUCCAUGAUAAAACGACAGAAGGAUUGGUUUAAAAUUAGUAAAUUUUAUAUUUGUUUCACUGUUUCUCCGUCGGUGAAUUGAUCUGUGAUAGUUUCUUUGUCCUUCUUCAUUCAAAUUCUGUUACUAUUUCAUUUCAUUGUUGUAUUUAGAUCUAUUUGCACUCUCAUAUUGAUUGUUAAUGUUUUUUACUAUGUGAUUUGUUUUCUUGAGAGUUGUUCGUGUUUAAUUAUCAGAAUUCGAGUCACAAGGGCCUGAGCUUUUGUUUUACUUGGUGUAUAAUACCCUUUUGAGUGAAUGUAAUAUGUAAAAUGAAAUAAAUAAUAUGAGAUUUUCUGUAAA